rnacentral:rRNA from 1 species
GACGAACGCUGGCGGCGUGCUUAACACAUGCAAGUCGAGCGGAAAGGCCCUUCGGGGUACUCGAGCGGCGAACGGGUGAGUAACACGUGAGGAACCUGCCCUGGACUUUGGGAUAACUCUCGGAAACGGGGGCUAAUACCGGAUACGACACUUCACCGCAUGGUGUGGGUGUGGAAAGUUUUUCGGUCUGGGAUGGUCUC